rnacentral:rRNA from 1 species
CAGCCGCCGCGGGAAUACAGAGGGUGCGAGCGUUAAUCGGAUUUACUGGGCGUAAAGCGUGCGUAGGCGGCUUCUUAAGUCGGAUGUGAAAUCCCUGAGCUUAACUUAGGAAUUGCAUUCGAUACUGGGAAGCUAGAGUAUGGGAGAGGAUGGUAGAAUUCCAGGUGUAGCGGUGAAAUGCGUAGAGAUCUGGAGGAAUACCGAUGGCGAAGGCAGCCAUCUGGCCUAAUACUGACGCUGAGGUACGAAAGCAUGGGGAGCAAACAGGAUUAGAGACCCCAGUAGUCUCUGUCUCUUAUAC